UUAAUAUGAAAUUUUAAUGAAAACCCUAGCUUUGAAAUUAGUGGUAACCUGUUUUUUUUUUUUUUUUCUUAUAUGAAUUUAUUCUAUGUUGAUGGUGAUUUGAGCUGGAAAUAACAUGAUUUCGGUUAACCUCUUAGAACCUGGAUUUUAGGAAUCACUCGAUGUAUAUCAGGUGUUUAUCUUAUAAGGGUUCUCAUAAGAUUAGUAAUAUUGUUGCAAUUUAGGGUAUUAGGUUUACGAUUUCUGGACAGAUUUCAGUGAAUGAAACGAGAGCACUCAGAGCAGGUAUUUUCCUGCUUCUACUUUUCUCGGUUUUUAUUUUGAACUGCCAAACUAAACUGUUUGAAACAUACAGGGUGUAUGUUAUAUUGAACUGACACGAUAGUCCAAAACCGAACUUACUAGAGGAGGUAGAGAUGCAUCAGUUAUAGAUUUGAGAAAGGCCCCAAACUUGUGAAUGUGAAUACCCAGAAGGGAAAGAUGUGAAGAAUUAAGGAACUCCUUGCAUGAGGUACAAUUAGCCUCUGUACUACAGCUGCAUCAAGGGUAUUCGUCGAUCUGGAAUUCUUGAUGUUCAGCCAGCGCAUUAUUUUAGUACAAUGUAAAUCAAAAGUGUUUUUCCAGGCUAAAUAUUCUCGAAUGCAACAACAAAGCGAUCUGAUGCAGACUCAAUGUUGAUCUCGGAUUUAAGAACAAAUGAAGAUAGAGGGAGCGGAAGCGGGAGAUAAUAGAGAAACUCUAGCACGAUAAUUAAUUAGAGUUUUUAAUUGUGCUCUUCAAAUGUUUGUCAAAAUAGCUUGAAAGGAGUUUCCUGAUGAUCUAAGCCAGAAGAGUAAUAAGGACUGUGAUUGCUGAUGCCGAGUUGUAUUCUGGGCAUCCAAUUAUAAGGUAAGUAUUUGUCAAUUCUUUUUGUAGUCUGAGUCAUAUUUAUCACGGGUUGGGUUGUCUAAUACUUUAUACCGUACAUGUGUCUGAUUAUCUCUGUAUGUCACAUAUAGAUACAAAUAUACUUAUCACUAGAGGGAAUUUGAGGGUCCAGCUCACUAGCUGGGAGUACAACCCCACACUUCAAUUAUUCAUCAUUAAGUAUCUACUUUAGCCCUCCCAAGUUAGAAUUUUGGAACUCCCAGGUGGACCGAGUUGCAAAUAGUCACUUUACAUUGACACAUACCGCAAAUGCUAUAUAUUGUAUUCAUUCAGUUAGUAGGUGUACUAUUUAGCAAGCUCAUUUAAAUAAUGAUGUUUGAUCCAUCGUUGAGGGGUAUUAAAAUGAAGGCAGUGUCAUGUACAUACGUUACCCCGGAAAUCAUAAUUCAACCGACUGCUCCAGCUGUUUUCAGCUAAAUUUUAUGUCAGAAGCUUGAUUGGCAGUGCAUUUGAAAUUUGAAGUGCAUCUGCAAUUUUUGUAACAUCUUAGCUGGGAGAUUUUUGCGGGUGGUACAAUAUAAAGUGAUAAUUAAAUGCUUAAGGUCAACUUUUUUUGCCAUUUAUUUGUUCAAAAUUUUGAUUUGUCAUGUUAAUGUAGAGAUUGGAGCUAAAGCUUUUAAAUUGAACGUUGUCGCAAUGGUAGCUCCAAAUGUUGAAUCUGUCGAAACACUAAUAGCAUGGCAGCCAUAAAAACUUCUUUACAGAUAGCUCUUAUCUGCGGGCAACCUAUCUUCUUCUCUUCAUUGACUAAACUUAACUUUCACAAAAGUUUGUAGUGAGCUAUACUUCAAAGAAUUGGGUGAAGUUAUUAAUGUUUCAAAGGGCAUGUUACUGUUGAGUUUGCAACAGACGAAGUAGUGUAGAAGGCAAGGUUUCUUAUCUGGAACACCUUAGUUGAGGUUUUUGACAGUACCUCCAGUGAUUUGGUUAGGCUGAAGCAAAGAGGUAAAGGAACGCAUAACCUAACAGGUGUAUCUAGCAUCUGACGGGCAGUAGAACUCUAAGAGAGAAAUCUGCUUAAAGUUUCAAAGGAAAGUGAAAAUGACUUGAAACAAUGCCUUGCUCAGUCAGAAUUUAAUAAAGACAUAACAUCACAGGUUUGUUAUUUAUAUCCUUGCGACGACGAACAGAGAUAUCCAAAUUAAGUUAUUUCCGAGAAACACGAAAGAGGAUCGGCAGUCCCCUUAACUUUUGUUUAAUAUGCAGUAUGUGGUUUAAGCUUAGAUUAUAAAGAGCUCAACGACCACAAAUGAGAGUCUCCAUUUGCAUCUCCAUUUGCAAUUGGAGCACUAAUGAUUGCCAGUGUGUACACCAUGGGCAAUUUCUUACGGAAGGAGUAUGACUGACACGGAUCAAGAAGCUCAGUUACAAACUAUCCUUGGUGAUAAUAGUCAAGUGUACAACAAGAGGAGAUGCAAGGGUCACUUGAAGCACGUCCAGAUUAGGUGGUUGAUUUGCUGGAUGAUAAUUAUCUCUCAACUUUCUGUUGUUUCUUCUUCUCCAUUUUCGAUUUUUAACCUUGCCGUGUCAAUAGAUAAUGAAUUUGUUUUAAGAAUUCCUCUUUAACCCUAACUAUUUACUGUUACGACUUUAUACAGUUCAAUGGAAAAGACUAAGGUCACUUCUUUUUGCA